rnacentral:lncRNA from 1 species
GGAUGGAGAUCGGUUGCAAUAGAAGUUUGGAGUAGAAAUCUGCUUGCUGUGGAAGCUCGGAUGAAGUCUGCUUGCAAUAGAAGUUCGGAGUAGACCGCUCACUGUAGAAGCUCGGAUGAAAUUCGAAAAGUGGUCAACCGUUGUAGAAAUUUGGAUGGAGUCUGGUUACUAUAGAAGUCCUGCUGCUGGAGAAGCUCGGAUAUUGAAGAAGUCCAGAAGAAGCUCGAAGUGAAG